GACGAACGCUGGCGGCGUGCCUAAUACAUGCAAGUAGAACGCUGAAGCGAGGAGCUUGCUCUUCUUGGAUGAGUUGCGAACGGGUGAGUAACGCGUAGGUAACCUGCCUUGUAGCGGGGGAUAACUAUUGGAAACGAUAGCUAAUACCGCAUAACAAUGGAUGACACAUGUCAUUUAUUUGAAAGGGGCAAUUGCUCCACUACAAGAUGGACCUGCGUUGUAUUAGCUAGUAGGUGAGGUAACGGCUCACCUAGGCGACGAUACAUAGCCGACCUGAGAGGGUGAUCGGCCACACUGGGACUGAGACACGGCCCAGACUCCUACGGGAGGCAGCAGUAGGGAAUCUUCGGCAAUGGGGGCAACCCUGACCGAGCAACGCCGCGUGAGUGAAGAAGGUUGUCGGAUCGUAAAGCUCUGUUGUAAGUCAAGAACGAGUGUGAGAGUGGAAAGUUCACACUGUGACGGUAGCUGACCAGAAAGGGACGGCUAACUACGUG
rnacentral:rRNA from 1 species